UACCACUAGCACGUACUAACGAGCAGUAUGUUUCAAAUUUUUAUUAUUUUUGUGUGCAUUUUUUUGUUGAGUGAUUGUAAAGCCAUUGGAAAUGAUACAGAAGACAGUAACAUUGCCGACCUUGUAAAACAUGUUACAGAUUUAGAAAAUAAAUUGAAAAAUUUAAGCGAUUACCUUACAAAAGACCAAGUUGUGCUUUACGUUACAUUAUCAGAGAGCAUGAAAGAUGUGAGCAAUGAGGUGACUGUUAUUUUUGACAGACCACAGAUAAACCCGGGAAACCAUUAUAACCAGAAUGAUGGAAUAUACAUUGUACCUUUCUCUGGAAGAAUUAUGGCUUUCUGGACAAUUGGCACUAACGAGACCGCAAGAACCGAACUCAUGGUUGAAGAUAGAGUUGUCGGUACUUUGGUGACUGCUGCAAGUUCUGUGACAACGAAAAACAGAUACAGUAGUUCCAAUACAGUGAAAGAAUCCUCUUCAUCGACCAUGGCUGUUACUGAUGUUCAAAAGGGAAACCACAUAUUUCUGAGAACUGCAUCAGAUGAUAAUCACAUUCUCAAAAUUGUGUCGUCCUUACUGAUAAGACGUACGCUUUAAUUUGAAGAAUUGAAAAAACUUUCUUCGUCAUUUGGUCUGUGGUGGAGAGUUGUUUCAUUGGCAAUCAUGCCACAUUUUUUUUAUUGUUAUAUUUCUCAUAUCUCUUUGAUCUUUUUGUAUUCACAAUUUUGACCUCAAACAAAUUUCAUAUUCAAACUUUGUAGCUAAUUUUCGGAUGAGGACUUUUUAUUGUAUACUCUUUAUGUCUGGGGUUUUAUUUCUUGUCUCUCUGAGCCUUCUGAAGACAGCUUAUCAAAGUUUAUCUGAGUAUUUAAAGAUGCAACACAAACAAAUAAAAUUGAGAAUGGAAAUGGGGAAUGUGUCAAAGAGAUCACAACCCGACCAAAGAGCAGAAAACAGCCGAAGGCCACCAAUGGGUCUUCAACACAGCGAGAAAACCCGCACCCGGAGGCGGACUUCAGCUGGCCCUAAACAAAAUGUGUACUAAGCCUUUAGAGUUCAACAUAGAUUAAAAUUUGAUGACCUAGAAUAUUCAUAUUGGAAACAAUUGAAAAAUACGUAACAGUUUAAGCAUUAUAAGAGGUUAUUAAUUAGAAUAUGAACGUUGGCAAUAAUUGAAAGAGAUUUGUGAAGUCUUAAACUUAUGACUCCAUUGAAUAGUCUCAAAUAAAUAUAUACAAUUACAUUCUAUAUAAAAGUUCGACUGUUAAACUUCAUGUAUCACGUUUUUUCUACAUAAGGAAAUGCCUUUACCAAGUCAGGAAUAUAACAGUUAUUUUCCAUUCGUUUGAAGUGUUUGAGCUUGUGAUUUUGCCAUUUGAUAAGGGACUUUCCGUUUUGAAUUUUCCUUGGAGUUAGGUAUUUUUGUUAUUUUACUUUUUCUUAUAUCUAUAUUUCACUAAGGCAUUUGUUCAUAAUUAAAGUGUCAAAAAUUUCUCAUUUAUAUUUAUGUCAAAAUGCCAUAAUUAUGAACCUUUGAUUUGAUUUAUAUUUGUUUUUCUAAAUGAGAGUUUUAAUAUAUUCAUGGAAAACAGUUUAUCAAAACGAGGAGUGUUUAAAAAUCAUGAAUAAACAUUUUCUCGGGUCAUUGUUUUUUUUUCUUAAAAAUGACAUGUGUUACAUGCAUUAAAGUUUAUCGGGAUCUUAGACGUGUGGGGUAAUAUGUAGUAUUUGAUCUAUAGAAAUUAUUAAAAUCAUUUUAUUGAUA